UCAUAAUAUAGAUCUCCUCCUGAAUCCUCUCUCUUCCUCGACAUAACCAGCCACGCCGCCGCUGCCGACUUUUAUAAAAAAUUGAUCCGGGCACGCAUGAGUCGUGCGUUGGUGCCAUGGGUAGCACAUCCACAUAAAUAUAUCGUGCAUGUUUACCCUGCGUUGUGUUUCUGGCCGGUAAGAUUAAUCAAGUGCAUGCUUGAUUAGGAGGUUUUGUACGUGUAUAAUUAUGGCCAUUGAGUCAGCCUUCUUUUUAUUAUUUUUGCCAAAGAUUGAGCCAGCUUUCUACGUAUGAAUCUGGCCGGACGAACAUCACGGGUUGUUCACAGGCAGAUGCUGUUGUCCAGUACAAUGAUGAUCUGGUGCGAAUUUUUGAUCAAUCAUGUCUCUCAUGUGGCUGUGUUUAGCGGACGAAGAAUUCAAUCAUGGUUACCUGUAUAUGCAUAUACCUUUUCCACGCGGAUAUUUGAAAUGGCACCACUGUGCAGAUCGGCAGAUGGAGGAGCUAAGUCCUAUUUUCUGGGACAUACAAGACAACGGCGAGCACAUCUAGCCACCGGAAACAUGAGACAACUCCACAAAACAAUGGCAAUGUCAGCAUCGUUUAAUCCAGCGACGGCAUCUUUGCAAAUGUCGUUGGUACACACAUCAGAUGCUUCAGUUGUCGAAUCAUUGGUUUAGGCCCAAGACUCACCUCACAAAAUAAAGAUCAAGUCAAAAUGUCUCAGGCACCGACCUGAUGACGACGUCCCAUGGUCCCAGCUUUUUUACAUAUUGGACAUUACAUGGUGUUCCAUGUCUCUCAUCAAGAUACAUCAAUGAUCAUUGUGGGCAUGGUGUGUGGAUUUCUAAAACAAUAAUUUUUGAACUAGAGGGUUUCUACUGAAGAUGUUUUGCAGCAGGAACAAACAGAAACACAAAUUGGUGAUGGACAAAUGGUCGUUUACAUGUUCAGUUUAUUUGCAGGACAUGUUACGUGCGUCAUCUCAAUGUCAUAACACAAUUAUGUGGAGUAUUUUCUUUUUGCACCAUUUGCGACCCAUUGAUGCCUGACAUAUAUGCAUGUAUGUACUUAUAUAUCGUAUAAAUUGCAUGUAACAGU